CAGCACCUCAGGUGGUCAGGAUGAUUAUUGGGCCUAAAGCAUCCGUAGCCGGCGCUGUAAGUUUUCGGUUAAAUCUGUACGCUCAACGUACAGGCUGCCGGGAAUACUGCAGAGCUAGGGAGUGGGAGAGGUAGACGGUACUCGGUAGGAAGGGGUAAAAUCCUUUGAUCUAUUGAUGACCACCUGUGGCGAAGGCGGUCUACCAGAACACGUCCGACGGUGAGGGAUGAAAGCUGGGGGAGCAAACCGGAUUAGAUACCCGAGUAGUCC
rnacentral:rRNA from 1 species